rnacentral:rRNA from 1 species
AGAGUUUGAUUCUGGCUCAGAACGAACGCUGGCAGCGUGGAUUAGGCAUGCAAGUCGAACGGGAUUCCUUGGAUUCAAUCUUUCGGGAGAGAAACCUUGGAUGAGAGUGGCGAAAGGGUGAGUAACGCGUGGGUAACCUGCCCCUGAGUUGGGGACAACUUCCCGAAAGGGGAGCUAAUACCGAAUAUGGUGGUCUUCCAGAUGGAAGGUUAACUGAAGGUGGGGAGUUCGUUUCGGCGAACCCUAUCGCUCGGGGAGGGGCCCGCGUCCCAUCAGUUUGUUGGUGAGGUAAUGGCUCACCAAGGCUUACGGGUAGCUGGUCUGAGAGGAUGGUCAGCCACACUGGGACUGAGACACUGCCCAGACUCCUACGGGAGGCUGCAGUCGAGGAUCAUUCACAAUGCGCGAAAGCGUGAUGAUGCGACGCUGCGUGGAGGAUGAAGGCUUUCGGGUUGUAAACUCCUGUCAUUCGGGAAAAAGUGUCAUGCGGCGAAUACCCGCAUGACUUGAUGUUACCGAAAGAGGAAGCCACGGCUAACUCUGUGCCAGCAGCCGCGGUAAUACAGAGGUGGCGAGCGUUGUUCGGAUUUACUGGGCGUAAAGGGUACGUAGGCGGCCCUGCAUGUCGGAUGUGAAAGCCCACCGCCCAACGGUGGAACUGCAUUCGAAACUGCAGGGCUAGAGUACAGGAUGGGAGAGCGGAAUUCUAGGUGUAGCGGUGAAAUGCGUUGAUAUCUAGAAGAACACCGGUGGCGAAGGCGGCUCUCUGGAAUGUUACUGACGCUGAAGUACGAAAGCUGGGGGAGCAAACAGGUUUAGAUACCCUGGUAGUCCCAGCUGUAAACGGUGUGCACUUGGAGUGGGGAGUAUUGACCCUCUCCGUGCCGGAGCUAACGCGUUAAGUGCACCGCCUGGGGAGUACGGUCGCAAGAUUAAAACUCAAAGAAAUUGACGGGGGCCCGCACAAGCGGAGGAGCAUGUGGCUUAAUUCGAUGCAACGCGAAGAACCUUACCAGGGCUUGACAUGGCGACCCUUCGGGGGUGGGAGUGAAAGUUCCCUUUACGAUCACAGGUGCUGCAUGGCUGUCGGCAGUUCGUGCCGUGAGGUGUUGGGUUAAGUCCCGCAACGAACGCAACCCUUGUGUCUAGUUGCCACCGCAGGUGAUGAGCCUGCGAGCACUCUAGACAGACUGCCCGUACAAGCGGGAGGAAGGUGGGGACGACGUCAAGUCAGUAUGGCCCUUACGCCCUGGGCUGCACACGUGCUACAAUGGUCAGUACAGAAGGAGGCAAUACCGCGAGGUUGAGCAAAUCCCCAAAACUGGCCCCAGUUCGGAUUGGAGUCUGCAACUCGACUCCAUGAAGUUGGAUUCGCUAGUAACGGCGUAUCAGCUACGGCGCCGUGAAUACGUUCCCGGGCCUUGUACACACCGCCCGUCACAUCAUGAAAGCCGUCUGCACCCGAAGUCGCUGAGCCAACCUUUCGAGGGGGCAAGUGCCGAAGGUGCGGGUGGUGAUUGGGAUGAAGUCGUAACAAGGUA